rnacentral:rRNA from 1 species
UCAGUAUGUGUGUUAGUGGAAGCGUCUGGAAAGGCGCGCGAUACAGGGUGACAGCCCCGUACACAAAAAUGCACAUGCUGUGAGCUCGAUGAGUAGGGCGGGACACGUGGUAUCCUGUCUGAAUAUGGGGGGACCAUCCUCCAAGGCUAAAUACUCCUGACUGACCGAUAGUGAACCAGUACCGUGAGGGAAAGGCGAAAAGAACCCCGGCGAGGGGAGUGAAAAAGAACCUGAAACCGUGUACGUACAAGCAGUGGGAGCACGCUUAGGCGUGUGACUGCGUACCUUUUGUAUAAUGGGUCAGCGACUUAUAUUCUGUAGCAAGGUUAACCGAAUAGGGGAGCCGAAGGGAAACCGAGUCUUAACUGGGCGUUAAGUUGCAGGGUAUAGACCCGAAACCCGGUGAUCUAGCCAUGGGCAGGUUGAAGGUUGGGUAACACUAACUGGAGGACCGAACCGACUAAUGUUGAAAAAUUAGCGGAUGACUUGUGGCUGGGGGUGAAAGGCCAAUCAAACCGGGAGAUAGCUGGUUCUCCCCGAAAGCUAUUUAGGUAGCGCCUCGUGAAUUCAUCUCCGGGGGUAGAGCACUGUUUCGGCAAGGGGGUCAUCCCGACUUACCAACCCGAUGCAAACUGCGAAUACCGGAGAAUGUUAUCACGGGAGACACACGGCGGGUGCUAACGUCCGUCGUGAAGAGGGAAACAACCCAGACCGCCAGCUAAGGUCCCAAAGUCAUGGUUAAGUGGGAAACGAUGUGGGAAGGCCCAGACAGCCAGGAUGUUGGCUUAGAAGCAGCCAUCAUUUAAAGAAAGCGUAAUAGCUCACUGGUCGAGUCGGCCUGCGCGGAAGAUGUAACGGGGCUAAACCAUGCAC